UUCAGAGGCCGGCCAGGGCGGGUGGGAAGCUUGGGUCGCCCCCGGCGACCCAAGCCUCCCGCACGCUCUGACCUGCGCCGUGA
rnacentral:pre_miRNA from 1 species